UACGUAGGGGGCCAGCGUUGUCCGGAAUCAUUGGGCGUAAAGCGCGUGUAGGCGGCUUGGUAAGUCCGUUCUGAAAGCCCGGGGCUCAACCCCGGGAGGCGGAUGGAUACUGCCAAGCUCGAGUCCGGAAGAGGCAAGUGGAAUUCCCGGUGUAGCGGUGAAAUGCGCAGAUAUCGGGAGGAACACCAAUGGCGAAGGCAGCUUGCUGGGACGGUACUGACGCUGAGACGCGAAAGCGUGGGGAGCAAACAGG
rnacentral:rRNA from 1 species